GCACCAGCUCAGCUCAGGGCCCCUCCUCUCCCGGCCCCCUGUGGAACACCAGGACAGGAGCUUUUCCCUGUUGGUCACGUCUGCUCCUCGACGUUUUGGAAGAUGGCUGGCCACGUUCCUGUCAAGCUGGCUGAGACUCUGUCCCUUCUGGGGCCUGUGUAAGUCAGAGAAACCUUAGGGACACUGAGUUAAGUCUCAGGGAGUGGCCGGCGUCCCCAGUGGGUGUGGCUUUGAGCACAGCACAGGCCGGUGGAAGCAGAGAGGGCGGCAAGGCCAGCGCUGGCCUCGGGCCUUUCUGUCUGGCUCCCAUGGGGCCUUUUAAGUGGGUUUUGCCAGUUUUAAAAACCAGGAGAUUCAUAUAAAAAUGCUGCCCUCUUCCAAAAGCCAAGGCUCCGGGCCCUUUUGCCUCACAGUUGGCCAAGCUGAGCCACGGGACGUGCCCUCCAGGGUGCCACAGCCCCCCCAUCCCGUGCACCCCGGGGGCUGGCCUGGCCCUGCCCACACUCUCACACAACCCAGCCAGGGCUGCUGGGAUGGCAGGGAGCAGCUGUCCAGUGCAGACAGGAGCUGUGGGGUGACCCCGUGUCCCCAAGUGCACAGAGGGAGCAGAGGACAGCUGGCCCAGGACCAAGGAGCGUCUCCAUGACGACCACAUGACUGAUCAGCCAGUCCAGGCUGAAGGACAGAUGCCGACCAACUGCUAGCUUGGAGGGAGGGGCCCCGAGGACCCUGGUGGUCCCUGCUGUCACCUGGUGCCUGGCCCUCAGUGAGGUCACCAUGAUGUCAACCUCCCCUGCGCUGCUGGGAAAUGACACUGACGAGAUGAUGUGGCCUGGCCACACACAGCACUUUGUGAAGGUCAGCGACGCCCUACCCUCAAAGAAAUCGGGAACAGAGGCUCUAGUAAGAAGAUGCUACUAUCCGGUCAAGAGUGUCCGCAUCAGACUUCUGAGCUGACCACAGCAGGUCAGGCCUCGGGUCCUCACAUGCUUCUCCUGAACAGGAAGACCUGGGACGUGGAGGUCGUGUUUGGGCGUGGCCAAGAUCCCUGGAGCCAAGUCCUGCUGCCCCUCCAAACAGGGCCCACGACACCCACUUUGCCACAGUCCCCACUCCUCUCUAUUGUCCCACACCUGAGAGGAGACAAGAGGGCGAGUGUGCACACAGAGGUGCGCCAGUGUGGACAGACCCCAGCUCCAGCAGGUACAAUGGCAGACGAGACAGGGCCAGCCUCUCUACACCACCAGCCAAGGAGGACACCCGCAUGGUGACGUCGGCAUGAGAAGAAAAUAACAAUGCGAUGUCCAAGAGCGUUUGGAGCCAGGGCCAGGGACACGAGUUCCCAGCAGAUGCGUCUGUGGCCCCACUUUGAUCUGUGCUCCUGGAGUCUGUGACGCGCCCCACCCCAGAGCUGCUCAGGACUCAGGGAGCUCAUCCCUGGGCGCAUGUCCACGAGCACCUGCCUGUGCGGCAAGGCCCUGGGCAGGGGCUAGACGCUAAGCAAAGGACAGAUGGACGCCACUGCUCUCUCGGAAUGCAGUGUACUCAGGUGAGGAAACGAGGCCCAGAGAAGUUAACGUCACUGCCCAGAGACACCCAGCCAGGAGUGUGGGGGCACGCCCGAGCAGGUCCACCUGGAUUCCAGGCUCUCCCAGGCUGCAGUGAGUGAAUUCCCGAGU